GAUGAACGCUGGCGGCGUGCCUAAUACAUGCAAGUCGAGCGAACAGACGAGGAGCUUGCUCCUUUGACGUUAGCGGCGGACGGGUGAGUAACACGUGGAUAACCUACCUAUAAGACUGGGAUAACUUCGGGAAACCGGAGCUAAUACCGGAUAACAUGUUGAACCGCAUGGUUCAACAGUGAAAGACGGUCUUGCUGUCACUUAUAGAUGGAUCCGCGCCGCAUUAGCUAGUUGGUAAGGUAACGGCUUACCAAGGCAACGAUGCGUAGCCGACCUGAGAGGGUGAUCGGCCACACUGGAACUGAGACACGGUCCAGACUCCUACGGGAGGCAGCAGUAGGGAAUCUUCCGCAAUGGGCGAAAGCCUGACGGAGCAACGCCGCGCGAGUGAAGAAGGUCUUCGGAUCGUAAAACUCUGUUAUUAGGGAAGAACAAAUGUGUAAGUAACUAUGCACGUCUUGACGGUACCUAAUCAGAAAGCCACGGCUAACUACGUG
rnacentral:rRNA from 1 species